UUAGAUUGGUAUCAAACGGUUUAGAUUGAAAAUAAAAACACUGAUUUUGAAAUAUGAACUUCCGAUCUUGAUCCAACGAUUUAAAAGUCGCUAUUGCGUGAAUGCCUUCUCUCUGAUUGCAGAGAAUUGCAAUCCGGUUAUUUUUCCUUUCCUUUCCAUUUCCCAUCUCCAAUAUUUUCCAUUUGCCUGGACUUUACUCCUUGAAGAAGUUGGUACCAAUGGUAUAACAAAAGUUCAAAUCUAACAAGGAACAAGUCAAGACAAACAAGCAAGCAACAAAAGAUGGAGUCAUAAUAUAAAGUUUUCCUUUUCUUUAACAUUCCUAACCAAUCUAAGCAUCUCCAAAUGAUAUAAUAACUAUGAUCAUCUCGAUCAGUUGGAGGGAACAUGGUAGUAUUUGCCUUUACAGGUGCAUCUGUAAACGAUAGGACACGACUCUGUCAUGGAGCAUUUGAUGAAACCCACCAUGACCCUCUUGCAAGGGGAACAUGGUCCACAUGCAUGAGAACAAUCUGGAAUGGUAGAACCAUUUGGGUAGAGCUCCAUUGCUGGGUUGUCUUCUCUUGUUUCUUCCUGCAAAAUCACAACCCGUCAACUUUGCUGGAAAACAAGAAGAAAAAAAGAGUAUGUCAUAUUCUCAAACAAUAAUAAUAGUGUAUUGUAUCUCUUUUGCUCGCUUUGCAUGACACUUAUGAUGUUACUAUGAGUUUUGUCAUGUUUUAGUUUCAAAAUCAUGUAAAUUGUGAAAUCGGUUGCUUACCAUGAUUUGGGAUCACCCUAAGGCUCCAACCGAUAGAAAAUAGCGUGAAGAAAAUCACAACAAGAAAAUAUUUUUGAGCUCCAAGCGAGUAUGUGCUCAUAUUUGAAGGAAUUACAGACUCAAGUGUAGUUCAAAAUCAAUUUUCAUUAAUAGAGAAAAUCAGAAAAUGCAGACUAUA